AGGGGAUCUCUUCCCUGUAGCUUUGUCCUUGCUCUUGUAACCUGUAUGCACUGCUGAACUUCCUGAAUAACCCUGUCACGGGCGGCAGGAGGAGGGAGCACGUGAACUUGAGCCCGGAUGCCGGAUUAAAGCCUCGUUGUGAUUUUGCAAAGCACAGGGAAGGGGGGAGGCGGUGGGCCGCUGAACACUUGGCACAGACUUUGCUUAAGCUCAGGGCUGUGUCCGCCACAGAAUCUGAUGCCUCUGCACCUGGGCGGGGGGCGGGGAGGGGGUGCGGUCUGAGCGGUCUGAGGUGAGUCCUAUAAGCCUUAGGGGACACCAGCCCCAAAGGACCCCAUUCACCAUGAGGCAGUUUUGGAGCUAUGGUGACAGUCUCACUUACCCCCAAAUUGAGGUUUACCGGGAAGUGGAUCAGGAGACAGGCUCUAGAGAAACAGCUAUUAUGAGGCUGCCUUUCUGGCUGUUCAACCUGUUUGCCUCCAACCCUGUCCUCUGGAGACCCUGGGCUGCACUUGGGGCAUAUGGAGGUUCCCAGGCUAGGGGUCUAAUGGGAGCUGUUGUUGCGGUCCUAUGCCAGAGCUACAGCAAUGCCAGAUCCUUAACCCACUGAGCGAGGCCAGGGAUCGAACCCGCAACCUCAUGGCUUCUAGUCGGUUUUGUUUCUGCUACGCCACAAUAAGAACACUUCCCCUUUCUUUUUUUUUAAGUGAGUAGUAAUGAAAAUACCUGGGACACGUGGUAGUAGUGUAUUAAGUUCCCAUUUUCUUUCUCUUGUCCUUCUAUUCAUGCCUCAUAUUUGCUUGGUGCCAAUGCUGGAGGCCGUAGACACACACUAUCCCCAGUCACGCCCAGAGCAUCGCUUUCUUUGCUCUCCAAAGCCACCGUCUUGGUUGUCAUCACAGCAUCAGUAAUUCCCACAUGCACAGAUCCCCUUUGAGGGCUGCCCCUCUUCUGUUUCUUGAUCUAAGUUUCAUGAGGUGCAUCCGGUUUGCAAAAAACUUGAAAUGUGCACUUCUUCAAGGGUACUUCUCUGCGUGUAUAUUAUGCUUCCAUGGAAAAUUAUUUUUAAAAAAUCUAUGACACGUAGAUAUUCAGCUCCCGUUACUGACCUAGGGCUCCUAACUGGAAUCAAGAAGGGACUAUAGCUGCUAUUGUCAGAGUCCUUUUCAUCAGCCUUCAAAUGUAGUCUCCUUGCCCGUAUAUUUAUAUUUUUUUAAAUAGCGGCACAGUCAUUUACUAUGUAGCAGACGUUGAAAGAAUGCACAUCGUUCAGGGAGGUACAGAGUUAGUCUCUGGGAGAGAGUCCAUUCACUGAGGGCGUUGGGAGGGCUGCUGCCUCCCUUUGCCAAGCCCUGGGUUUAGACUUGAGGACUAGAUUGGGGAAGGCAGCCACAGCUUGGGCUGCAGUUUCUCUGGAGACUACAUUCUAGGGCCACUAGCAAAUGUACAACGUGAUUACACAGCAGCAAGCAAGCCGCGGGUUCCAAAGGUAAAGGAGAGUAUAAGGCAAGUCCCCUAGCUGUCACGAGAGGGGGCCCAGGAUGAGGCACCUGCAUGGAGAGCUGAAGCCCCAAGAGAUGUGAUUCCAGAAAGAGGGGAGGGGAUGGGAGUGGGUGGAAAGCAGACCAGAGAGAAAGAAGGACAUUUGCAAAGUGGGGCGUCCCGAUCCCCUGAACUGCAUCCUAAGCGAAUGCCUGCCUGGGGCCGGCCACAGUGCCUGGCACGCAGGUCAGACUUGAUGUGAUUAAUGGCUAAAGGUCUUUGGACUGGAAAGUAACUGAAAGGCCUGCUGGCAGUGCAUGGUGGGAAAUAUGAAACGCCUUCAGGCCUGUCUGUACAUGGAAGAAUUCCACCCACCGCCCCCCCUUUGGUUUGGCUAAAUGUAGUAACUCAUGAAGGUCAUCUUCGGAUGGCAGAACACCUAUCUAACCGUUCCAAGCAUAACCUUCUGCAAAGGCCUUCUACACAGGUGUGCGCUUGGUCACGACUCAAAGUCUAGGAGUGAAUGCCAUUGGACCCUUCUAGAAGAGGCAGUAAGUCAUCGCUCAGACGCCUCAGGGGAGCCAAGAGCUCCCUUUCAAGCACCUAGAUGGAGCCAUUAAAAACACCACACGACGUGCAUUUUGAACCACACAUUUCUACCCCAGUGGUUUCCCAUUCCAAAUGCCUUUCAGGAGGUGGCCUCUUGAAGGCAUCUCGCCAUGUCCCACGCUGCUGAGAAUGUUAGUCAUUUCCAGUCCGAUGGUUUAAACCCACCGUCUCUUCCUGCCCAGCAGACUCGGAGGAUUCUGACGAGGGUCCCGGGCUGGGCCGCCACUUCUUGAGUCUGAGUGUAAGGAUGGCGGGAGCUGCCACGCGGGUCGGAGGACCUUUCCGAGGCCACAUCAACUCUAAUUUCAUUGCUCCACGUUCCCUGUAGCGCUCCUGGUAAAUCAAGGGAGAGAUUUCUGUUAAAGACCACAGGGUGCUGGCUGCAGGGACAGCCGUUCCCCGUGUAUCUUGUUCUCCCAGUAUAGGAGAGUUUUCUGGUUUUGAGUCCAAAUUAGUAUUUCUCUAAUUUUCAAGUGUCUUAUCUGUUGGGCUGAGACUAAAAAAAAUCCAAUAGCUACUCAGUUGGGCAGGCUGUCCGUUAAGGGGAGAGGGCAUUUGGGUUACUACUUAAUCUUCUUUGUUCUCUUUCUCGGCCUUGCCCAUCGUCCGGACUCUUGUUAUUUUUUAUCUCAAGGUGGGGUAUCCUCAGAAUCCCUGUCCCUGUCACCAGCCCCCUUUCCUCGAAGCUUAGGAAGAUGGCGGCAAAUCCACAAGCAAGACUUUUUUUUUUUUUUUUUUUUUUUUAAGCCCAGGGGCAAUUUCCUGCUCGAUUACAACGCUGUGUACUCUUUCAACGUGCUUGUCAGCAGAGACGUUGCGCAUCCCAGAUAAUCUCGCAGUUGGUGACAGGGUUAUUGACUUACAGGUUUCUAGGGCAUCUUCUUCUUAAAAAAAAAAUAAAGAAGGCAAAAAAAAAAAAAAAAGGAAAGAAAAUUGUCCCGCCCUCUUACUGCCUUUUAGGAACUGGUUCCCAUUCUCUCUGCUGAUGCUCUUUAGUCCAUGAGUACCUGGGAAUAGUCAGUCUCCCUUAUCUAGUCCUACAGAUUUGUUUUGUUUUGAGUUAUGGCCUCUUUGGGCCUCCCACCCGCUCUUAUUUUUAUAAACAGACUCCGUGAUAAUAUACACACACGGCAGAUGGGUGCCGGCCAGUGGGCUCGCUUUUGUGCUGACGAGGUGUUCAUAUUCCACCUCGGCGACGUGAUGGCCUUGGCCCUCCUACCUUAUAAUCCUUUUAUAAAUUGGGGUUUACGUUGUAACGCUGGAAACCACUUCGGGAUCCGUUUCUUUCUGUCUUCUUUCUUCUUCUCCCAGCCACGCUUAAAAGCGGCUCUAAAGCUUCUCGUUUGAAGAUGACGCCCACCGUACGUCGGUCUAAAUAACGCCUUUAUUUAUGGUCACGCCCUUUCUCCUGCACUUAGAGUUUUGUCUGGAUCGUGCUCCACUUUCCUUUCGUAAAAAGAAGGGGGAAUUUUCCUGUUCCCUCUCAUACGACAGCAGCUCACCCAUUCUCUGUGGCAAUCAGCAAAUAGAUGUUGCAUGUUUGACUUUUUAUUUAAAAAAAAAAAAAACAGGAAAAAGAGUUUCAAGGGUAAGAUCUGCCGUCUUGUGAAUGUCAAAGAAGUUUCCUCAUUCCCCCUUUCUGGUGUCUCUCCCACUCUCUUUAAUUUGUUAAUGCUUUCGACUUAUUUUGCUUUGGAUAAUUUUCAAAGUACUGCCUCCCCCUCGAGAUCUCUCAAAGGCAGAAGUUCUGGCUAUUAAAGAUUUGCCAUUCUCCGAACAGCCCAGUUAGGGUACCCUCAGGUUAUUUAUAACUGGAUUUUAUCUCAGAAAAUUAACUAAAAGAAGAUUAACCAAAAAUCGCAAGGAAAAUGCCUGAAACACCUCAUCUAUUAUGCUGUGCUCAAACAGAUAUUUUCAUCUUAACAGCUUGGCAAGCCCAGUGGAAUGCUCUUUCUAGUUGGGGGCAUAAAAUAAGAUAACACUCUGAAUUCCUACAGGAAAUCUUAUAACUCCACUUAAAAUUAAGGCAUAAAGUAUGAAAAUGUGCGUUUCCUCUGUAUAGUCUUAUUGCUUUGCCUGUUAACUUAAGUGGUUCCUAUUUCUGCUGGUUCAAAGAGCCCCAGGGCGCUUAAAUACCUCUUCCAGCACCAGAUACUUUUCCUUAAAAGCCCUCCGAGGUCAGGACUGAGUCAUGAGCUCCGAUCGGUAAUGAGGAAGAUCUUACAUUUAGACAAUUCCUUUGCCUUCUAAUGUACCCAGACGGAGGAGGAAGCCCAAAAAGUUACCCCUACUUUAUCCAUAUAGGACUUUGUUCAUUCUGUUUCAUUUCAGGCAGAUAUGAGAUGACGUCUUGGAGUUCCUGUUGUGGCUCAGCGGGUUAAGAACCUGACACAGUGUCCGUGCUCAGUGGGUUAAGGAUCCAGCGUUGCCGUGAGCUGUGGCACAGGUCACUGAUGCAGCUGCAAUCCAGCAUGGCUGUGGCUGUGGUGUAGGCCAGCAGCUG
rnacentral:lncRNA from 1 species